rnacentral:lncRNA from 1 species
UGGCCUGGUGGAGUGGAUUCAUGGGUUGCUGGAUCUGGUUCUGCUUAUGUCGGAGUUGUGCGCUGGAGCAUCUUGGCUUCGAUGGACCUCAUCCAUCGUCGAGGAAAGCGGAGAUGAUGCUGGAUCGAGGGGACCGACGACUGAUGCUCUUUUACCGAGAAUCUCUUGCAGUUAUCCAACGUUUGGAGUCCGUCCUUCGAUUUGGAUCGGGAAGAUUGGUGGAUCGAUGCUUGAGUGUGCAAUCCGGCGAACAGUUGGAAGGAGCCCGCAGCUCGUUCUGAGAAAGAAGAUAAAUAGUAGGGACCUUGUUGUAAUUUCAGGGUUACUCAGGGUCUUUUCUGUAAGAAUGGGAUGUACUGUGCUCCCUUUUAUCCUUUAAUAUAUGUUAUAUCCCGUUUUCGGGAAAAAAAAAAACUUUACCAAAUCCCUGGACGAUGGUCCUCAGGGCACCGCAAUGGUUACAGAGAUGCAGAGAGGAAACUUGGUACGCGCCUACUGAGAGCAGCAAAGAUGAGUUAAAGAUGAGAUAUCCGAUGAAUCAGUUUUCAUACCUACUUUUCUAAAAUUUUAUGAACCCCACAAUUUAAGAUUUUUUAAUCACAUCUCUCACUGCACUCUAUGUUCAUGGCCGCACGGACGGCCACCUCCACUAGCCGCAGCUCCCGACCAGCGGGGCCUGGACACGCACCAGCUCCCGCCACCCCCUCCGUGCUGGCCCCUCUACCAGGCACCUAGGCCCACCCGCGGCUUGCCUCCUUGCCCACAUGCCGUCCUCGCCGACCAUAGCUGCCUCCCCGCGCCGCCGUGGUGGGACUCGUGAUGACGGCCUGAUGCCCUACCUCCGCACACACUGGGGCUCGUCAGUGAUGCCGUCCGCGCGCCCAUGGCUCGUCGAAGCAGCUGCCAACGGCAUAGCCCGGGAAGCUCGGCUGCGCGGCGGCCAACAGCGAGGCAUGCGGGGCUCGUGGUGCUUGGCCUGGCGAUGAGGCGAGGAUGCCGAGCUUGACGAUGUUGCAGCCGACCUGUGCGCCGCGGCGUCCGAGCACCUGCGGCUUCGUCAAGCCACGACUGCCAGCGGAGCCCGCGAGGCUCCACGGGUCACCACUGCCUGCCCGCCCUAGCUCUCGCGGAGUCCGUCCGCAGCGAGCUCACCCCACCCCUCAGCCGCAUCCGCUACCUGCGACCCCCGUACGGCCGCACCGGCGGCCCUUCCCACCCCUCCAGCUGCGUCUGCACCCCGCUCGCUGGCCGCUGCCUGCGACGUCACCUACAUUGGCAUCCCCUCCCACCCCCGUGCCCAUGGUGCCACGACCGAGAUGCCUCCCGACGGAUCCCGUGGCAGCCGCGCCCCUCCCUGGUCCCUGCGACGAGUCAAGCGAGCUGCGCUCACUGGCCGCUCCAACCUGUGCUCUCUGGCCGCGCCAGCCGCGCCUUGCGCUCACCGGCCGCUCUUCGACCGUGAGGCAGAGGAUGCGAAGAAAGAAGAAAGGAUAAACACGUGGUGGGGCCCGCUCAGCACAGAGGCGCGUGCUAGCAGCUCUUGCCACAUCUAGCGACACUUUCUUCUCUCUCCUCUUUUCUCUUUCCUACGUGGAGGCUUAUAGAGAGUCUAUCGACAUCCACUACGGGUGCCCUCAUCGAUGAAGGUGGGCGCGGGGCCCUUCGGGAAAGGGUAGAUCGGAUGGGGACACGAGCGUACACGGACAGAAUGCUUGCAGCUGCGCAGAGAGCGUGCGAGAGCCCUGCCAGCACGCCGCGGAUGGAACAAAAACGACUGCAGCGUGCCGCCGAUUUCGUCACAGUAGAGGCCCGAGAAAUGCCACCGCAAGGCACGAGAUAGAACCGUACGAACCCUCCCUUCGUCACAUACACGGUCGCUGGGUCGCGCCCACGGCAUACUACAAGAGCCGCAGGGCGCACUGGAACCGGAGUGAUCAGACUAAUAAACUAAUUGAUCCGCGGAGAACCUUAAACAACAGCAAUGAUCCAAGGGUUAACGUACGCGCGCGCGUGCCGGCCGGCCGCCGUGCCCACGCAUAAAUGGCACCGCGCGCACAUGCAUGCGGGCAUGCCCGAACGCACGCCGCGGGCGCGAGCGAGACGGCGAGAGCACGGCGGCCCAAAAAAGGCCCCUCUUGCCUUGGGAGCCGCGCGCGGGGCGCGGCGUCCGGCGUGCGCUGUGACCUGUGGCCUGUGGCCGUGGCCGGCCGGCAUCGGCAUGAUGACGGUGUACCCCCACCGGAACCCGGCCGCAAAUAGCAAAGUCAAGGCGCUUUUAAUUUCUGUCCGUGCUUCAUUCUCUUUGUAGUAGCUGAUGAUUGUUUGUAGAUGAGAUGAGAGUAGUUCGGGGGUAGUAUUAAAAGGCUAACCUUUCCAUCGUUCAUCUUUGUUCUCUUUUGGGUCCUCGUUCGCUCCUAAUCACGUCUGGUCUGCGUCGUCGGGUAUACUUCCCAGUUUGUCUGCUGAUCUGAUGAGGGACCACAUAUGCAUGGUGCUGUGUCAAAAAAAAAAACGGGUAUCUGCAUGCUGCAGUGUGCAUGCACUGACAGCAGUAGUAAACCUCGCCUUUUCGGGUUGGAUCCAUGCAUCCUGCUUUUUACAGUGCAAUGCAGACCUUGGAUCGGUGAAUAUUCAUCUGUAGCGUGCUACGUUCGUGAAGCUGCUCCAUCUACUGCGUGCCUUACCACUGGUUAACGCGCUGCUGCAUUGUUCCGGACUAGCUAGCAGCUUGCCAGCUUGUACUGUGCGUGGCACCUCUUUCAGCUACGUUCCAAGAAUAACGUUACACACGCACCAGAUGCAGCCGAGAUCAGGCCGCAGAAGGGCCGGAAAUCCUCGCAAGAGGACGCGACACCCGUACCGCUUCUCGAUGGAUGCUGUUUGCUUGUUUGGGCGGCUGCGAGGGUUGUGACGGUGCACUCCAGCAAGACUGCAAGAGGCCGCCAGGCGCGGGCGGCAUGCACCGGCGGCACCGCGCGGGGCAGCUAGGCAAGCGCAACGGUCACUUGGCAGGGCGGCCGCGUUCGGGAGCCCGCCCGGCCGGCAAGGCGGGCGCGGCAAGCCAGCCGGGCGAGCACGGGCGCACGGCGCGCGCGGCGGUUGUCGUCUGAUCGUCUCGUCCCAUCCCGUGCGAACGGGCGGGCGCUGCGCCGCCGCGGCGUGGCCUACUACAGUGACGUGAUGACAGCUCGCGCGCGGAUUCUGGACGGUAGCAGAGCGUCGCGUUGCGUGGCCCUAGCCUGGAGGAUUUUAAACGUUGGGAACUGUCGGGUGGCGAGAAUGACACAUCGGACUAGAGGAAUCGGAGCUCCCCGAUGGAGACAAGGUUGUAGGAGGGGAGGACGAGGACCACUUUAUUACAUGCUGUUGGCCUCGCUUUUGGUCGAUCGAUACACUACUCCAGGCCCUCUAGUACACUGAAAUGAAAAUCCUAUUCGCAGAAAAUGCCAUUUGAAAACGCUGCAGCCUCUCUCUAGUUGUGCACGAAACACAUGCAGUGUCGCAGGUGAUGAUGCAAUGCAACAUCGUGGUAACAGACUAACAGUUGCACAUAGCCUAGAAGUGCAAGUGCAGAGCACGUGUGUGUGUGUGUUGGGGGGGGGGGGGGGGGGGGGGGGGGGGGGCGGGCGGGGGCGCGGGCGCUGGACGUCAAUGAGGUGCGCGGUUGGGGAUUGGAUUGAAGUAACUUGCGGACAGGAGAUAACCGCUUAUUUAUUAGCCUGACAGCAACAACAUUUGUCACAUCUAACGUUCUUGUCAAGAUGAAGCUAAGCUCAGGUGAUCGAAUGCUGUGCAGCCAUACUUGCAAAAGCUUUGCUUUGUAGUUUGCAGCGUCGCCACCCCGUGACCUGUCAGACAGACAGGUUUGCCCAGGUCAUGUGAUGUGGUGUACGUAUUCGACUCCCAGACAACGCCUCAUCUUGGUAAAUGGAAGGUUCACACAUGCAGCAGAAUGUCGUCAUUCGAACUCUCCAAAGUUCAAGGAAAAGAAAAACAGCGUUAUAUCAACACAAUUAUACCACAGUAAAAAACCAAACAGAGAGCAGCGUUUCCAACAGCAGUGUGCCAGUGUCUGAUCUUUCAACCCUUUUCUUCAUUGGUGAACGGUUAUGGAACUGAUCGUAUCACUUACAGCAAAGCCAAAAAUGUGUUGGCUUUUCAGAGGAACAGUAAUUCUAAUAACCAAAAUUUGCAACCUGUCAGUUCCUCUGCAGUUCCUCACCAAUUCGACCCCCCUCCUCCCCCUGUAUAUCACCUACAUGUCUAAGACAACAACAAUCAUGGGUCCCAGAGGUUUCCAAAAGGUACAACAACUCUAGCUCCCAGAGGCUGCAGUUCUUAGUUGUACAACUAAAUUGGCCAUCAGAAUGCCAACGUGAAUGGGGAUUAGCUGUUCAAACCGAACCACAACUGAAGUCAUCAACCAUUGUAUCUGCCCUGUCCACCUCAGUAGAGCUUCGUGAACUCAGCGUUUUGGUUAGGUUCUCCGAGCCUGAAGGCAUCCCUCUCGACCAGGACCUGUAACGAGCUCAUUGUCUUGACCAAAGAUGCCCAGAUCAAGGGCGCGCAGCAGAAUGCGUACACAAACACCGCUAAGGCCCUGACGACACCGUUUAGAUACCAUGGGAAAGACAUCACCAAGAGAGUGCCAAUGAUCCCGAACCACGUCGUGAGGACGGAGAGUGGGUGGAGGAGGAAUAUGUUGAUCACAAUGGAAGAAAGUGAGAAAGAACCGAGCAGGUACAGAGGCCAUCCAAGCAGCGGAUGCACAGUUCUUGGGAUGAUGAAGAAGGGAAUGGUGUAAGCUGCGAGUAUGGACCAUGCUGCCACUACUCUGAGCAGGGAGAGCAAGAACAUAGUGCUUUUCUCCAUUCUUCUGUUGUAGCACAUCUUGGACAAGCUAGGGCGUGCCAGUCGAGUCACUGCUAUGACUCCAACGUACAGUACAGCCUGAAUUAAUGCCACUGGUAUCUCCGACGAGUACCUGUUUUGCAUCACAUUACCAUGUCAUCAAAAAAACAGAACAAAAACAUAUGUUCAGUGUUACAGAAUGUAAAAGUUAGCAUCCUCAACCAGCAUGACCCCCCACAACCCCUACUUAAUGCAGUUAUAUUAUACUUUAUCCUUAAUUAUGGAAACCCCCUACUUUGUGGAACAUUCUAUUAACAAAGAUAGAAAAGAACAUGACGAUUGCUUUGCCGUAUGCAACUUUAUCCUAAAAGACAAAAGCCAUGGUAAUGUUUUUUCCCCAUUCAUCUUUAUCCUAAAGAUUUCUUCACGACAUGUCACCAACCACAUCAGGAUAUAAUAACAUGAAUGACAACAUCAUCCAUCAUGGCAUCCUUAUCUGGUUCUGUAGGAUGGUGCUAAGGUUAUUUGAGCAUGCAGAUGAAAUAAGCAGUAGAAAAUGGAAAAGCUAAAGAAACUACUCACCCUAGGUUUUCACGACGUUGUUCAUGCCAAGAGAGCCCCAAAGGUAAAACAGGCCAAGACCACCAAUACCAUGGCUUAAACCAUGGAGCACUUGGAAAUGUAAUCACACUGUUUGGCCCACAUGGAAUACUCCAGCGAAGCUUCAGAUCUGAAAGGUGUAAUCUGUUAGUAUAAACCAGCAAAAUGGAUGUGAAUGUGGAAUAAUCAUACUGUUACUCUUACUCACAGUAGUAAGAUGCAUCCAUCUGGUAGCCUAGAGGGAGGCGAUAAGUACCCUCAAGUUUGGUACCAUUAGCUGGUGGAUGGAACAUUGGCUGAUCAAGCAAGUCCGGGAAAUAACUAGCAAGGAAGCCUUGGUCUGCACCAUCUGGGUUUUCACGUCCAACAGCUAGCUCAUGUAGCAUAUUCUUAAAAACAUCCAUUGAAGGCUGGAAACAAAAUGAAGUUGAAAAAGAAGUGUUGCUGAGGACAUCAAAUUCAAAUGUAAUAAAAAUGAACCAAAUUCCUGAGAAUUGCUAAUAAGUAUUCAGGCAAAAUAAACUGCAUCGAACUCCUUAAGUACUGAACCAACUGAAAAAAAAUUCAAUACUAAGCAAAGAAUCAAUUAUCACACAGCUAGAUUUCCAUUAUGAAGCAAUGAUUCAAUGAACAUCAAAGAAUGAUACUAGAUGCGAUGUAGGUUUGUUUAUAACCACGCCAAAGACAGAAAUAACCUAUUUUCUGAUUUGCAAGAAUUUAAAACUUUUGCAGAAACAUGGAAUGCCUGCAAAGUAAGUAGCCCUACCUGAAGUACAAAGAGGCCUGUAUGGAAGAUACAUGGAUUGAUGAAGACAGCACAAAACUGACCACACUGAAAUAACUCAUCCGUAUUCUGGAGGAAAAUGUUGUCAGAGUCAAGCAUAACAACUCGCUCAUACGAAACUAAGCUCCAUGCAUACAGCUUGUUUAAAGUCAACUUGAAUCGCAUGUUGAAAUUUUCUUGUUUCUCAUAGGGAUUCUUCAAAUUCUCGACAGAGACCACCUUCACACCAUCAUCUUUCCUAAAGAAACAGUUUCAAUGCACAUAUUACUAACAGAGGCAAACCUGAUAUAAAAAAGUACAAUUUACUGAAGCAAACAGGUCCAAUUUUGCAAAAAGAAGACAUACUUCGCAGAUCUGAAAUAUAUCUGGCAGCUGUAAAUGUAUGUUCAAUGCUUCAAAAUAUAUGUAAAUUGUAGCAACACCCAUCAAAAAGCAUCUCAUCAGAAAAGAAAGGAGUUGCUUCAUGCAUGGUUUUCAAAGAACAGUGCCACAGGAUAGAUUGGUCUCAACAUUGGUAUUUGCAGCUUCACAGAGAUAAAUUAUGUGGUCUUUUGUUUCAUUCUAUACAACCACUACUGUCCAUUCAUGAUUUUUUGCACCUUUUUAAUGCCAACAACAACAUACAGUACUGCUAUAGUGCUAUUUCUUGAUGCCCACAAGGGCAGCGACCUCAACCAGUACUCAUGUCUUUUUCUAAUAAGGUAGAGCAGUAGAGUGUAACCAUUUAUUAUGUGCAAUUAAUGAUCCAUUCUUUCAAGUUCCCAAUUGAAAAAUUCUCAAUAUACUAGUAAGCAAUUCAAGAUUUGAUAUUCUAAGGAACAGGGAUGAACUGUUGGACCACUAAGAUACAAAGAAGCCAGACAAAUUUCUAAAAACAAGCAUCCCCUGAAGCUACACUUGCCAAGCACCGACAGAGCUAUAACACAGACAAAUCAGCUCCUGUCGACAACCACAUGUGGCCAUUUGGACAGUACGGCAUCUUUUACAUGUUAGUCCAACUGAAAAAUUGUUAUAGGCUCAUGCAGUCCCAAUCAGUUAACUACUAAGUAGAACGUAAGGUAGUGGAAAUUAUCAGGUCAAAUAUCACAACUGUUCACCUAAUAUUUUAGAUAGGCCAAGUCAGUAGUCCAGCGCAAAUAUCGUCUUGUAGAAUAAAGCAGUUGAAAUAAGUGCGAUUUGCAGAACAGGACUGGAAAUUCGCAGCUUAAAUGUCGUAAGCUGUCAACAAAUAUCUCACAUCCUGGUACUCCCCGCAACAAAACUUCUAGCCUUAAUACAAGUAAGUCAACGUGAAAGGGAGCCUUCGCACUCAAAAACAGUUGAAUUAAGCGGCCAUUUCCAAAGAUGCAGCCAGAGCAUGAACACAGUCAUCUCGCCCAUUCACACAUAGUACAGGAUGGAACAGUAAUAAGGUUCGGCACGUCAGAGAAGUUCAGAUAAGUACGGAAAGACAGAGCAGCCUAGCUUGAUCCAGGAACAGAAAGGAAUCGCCUAAAAUACAGGGAACACCUGAUGUUUAAGGAAACACAACGAAUGAAAUCAAAUUUGAACCGAACAAGGAAGGAGACAAUCUAUACAUACUACUCUGCAACGUUAACCUACCGAAAUAACCAUUAAUUCGCGUCGAAUAGCAACGAAGGGGUUUGAGCCAGCCAGCCAGAAGGACCAAAAUCUGGUUCGGGCGUAAAUUUGACCAAACAGAGCAUGAAAAUAGCCACGAAAUUUGCUUCAAUGAAUUAAACAGGCAUCAAGUAAAACCGUGACCACUUCAAAAAAAGCAUCCCAAACUGAUCGGAACUUCAAACAACCGCGGGAGCGUCCGUUACCAAACGCCCAGCGAUCCAAGCAAGCGCCACCCGGGAGCACAGAGGCGCGGACGCAGAGAGCGAGACGAGAGGAGAGGUGGGGGAGAGCUUACAGCGCCUGGACCCAGCGCGGCGGGACGUCGAGGGACGCGAUCACGACGCGGUCGGCGCUGGCGCUUAGCCUCCCCAGGGACCGCAUCAUGACGCGCGUCGCCACGUAGAACUCGUAGUCUCGGGGCGUGCCCAUGUACAUCAUCGCCGCGUACGCGUGCCGCCUCGGCGGGGCCGCCACCCCCACCGCGACCUCCCCUUCCGCCCCCACCACCACCGCCACCGCAGCCGCCACGAGCCACCACAGCCCCACGGACCACCCCAUCCCCGCCAGGGAGCUGAGUAAAUCCCGCCUCCCACUUCCCCGCACCACCUUCCUCAGAUCUGGCUACGAGCGUGGACCGCCGGGCCCUUGCCGCGCCGGUCCCGGGAGCAUCCGCGGGCGGCCGCAGCACGGUCGUCGCCUCGGCGGAGCCGCCGGAUGUGUCAACCGCUCGCCGGCGACGUGCCUCGGGAGCGGUGGAAUUUUUUUUCCUCGCUCUCUUUUUGAUCUGUCUCGCUCGCCUCAACGGGAAUGGGAAAGGCGGAGUGGAAGUGGAGGGAGCAGUAGAAGAGACGCGAGACCCGGGGGGGAGCGCCGCGCUUCCUCGAUCAGACGGGCGGGCCUGACCGUGACUGACAGAGCUGAACUCGAGUUGAGCACCUCAGCACAGCACCUGCCUCACCGCCCCAGCUGGAUUUGUGUAAUCACGGUGGGACUAAUGAUUGGGCGGCUGGGCUGGGCCUGUCCAGCGAAUGCACAGACAGCCCAUUUAUAUACUGGGUGGAUGGGCCGUCAAGCCGGUUUUCUGAUCGCAGAGUUAGUUUGGGCUGAAAUCCCUAUCUACAUGGGCUGCUGCUGCUGGCAUCGAGAGAAUUGAGAGAUCCGUAACUCCAUGGGCCCGGACCAGUUGGAUGAUCAACGAAUCAAAAUCACGAUACGAAACGGAACCAACGAUGGAUGAUGUCGCCGGAUGCGACCCCACCACACGGUCGAUGGCUCCACUCCCGGCUCCGGCGGCCGCCUCUCGAAAGGUUUCCUCUUCCUCCGGGGCCUGUGUCGAUCCCGCGUCAUGCCCUCCGGCGUCUCCGUCUUGCCCUGGCUCCCGUAUCUUGCACCCUCCACGGCGGUGCCAGCGUGGAUCAUCUCCUUGAGGCGUGGGCACUGCAGCACCUGUUUCCGCAAAAUUGCAAGUUGGCGAGGGUUGUGAGUUCCUCCUAGGGCAGGUUCAUGUUCAUCUUCUGCAAUUCUCCAUUUGAGCUUUUAGAGACACGAUACACACAUGAAUUUCAGAUCCUUUUGUACAUCUUGAAGCCUGAAAGAUCAGUUGCAUUUCUUUUACAAGCCUCCUUUUAUGUUGGUCCAGUCUGGAUCAAAGCAUACUUCUAAAAGAAGUUGGAUUCGAUGAAAAAGCUUUGAAGCUGAUAUCUCAGCCGUAAUUGAUUGCACAACCACUACCUGAUGGGCUUUAUUAAAGAAAGGACGAAGCCGAAAAAAUAGUUGCAGGCUGCAGCUACAGAGCAAACUAUUGAAAAUAUCACCUUGGAAAUGCACCAUACCACAAAGAAUUCAUGAAAGGAGAACCCCCAAAACGAAAAGGUCACAUCCAGCUAAUCCCAAACCCAGCCCAUCAGAACCGAUCGAGCACCAGCUAGAUAGAUUCCUAAACUAGUUCCUAAACCCCACUCCAAAGUCCUAAUCCGUAUCAUAUUAUUCCUCCGUUCCCCGAGCUGCACCUCCACCGAAUCCAGAUCAUCAUCACUGCACUUUUUUCGUGCUACCGUGUACUUUGCUUCCAGACCCAGGAACCACACCAACCACUUCUCGCGUCCUCCAGCUCACUGGUGUUCAGUGUUCUUGCCAAGGAAAAAGAGGAGAAGAUCGAAUCUUUUUGCUGCCACUGUUCCUUUCCUGUUCUUCGUUCGGCGCCAUGAGCAGUAAGCUGCUUCGGGUCUACCCUUCCGAGCUCAAGAUCCCCUGUAAGUUCUUCAAGAACCAGUCGCUUGCUGAUGCUUUUCUGGGCUGAUUGUUCUCGUCUUACUUUCUGUUGACGUGAGAAGAUGAGAUGAAGAAGCAGCGGUCUUGCUGCAUGCAGCUGACGAACAGGACCGACCAGUUCGUGGCCUUCAAGGUGAAAUUCCCUGCCCUUACUGUUCUGUGAUGCUACUACAACGCACUGGGAUGGAGAAUGAUUGGUUUGGAUGUUCCGAUCCGUAGGUGAAAACAACGAACCCGAGGAAGUACUCAGUCAGGCACAGCUGCGGCAUAGUGCUUCCGCGGGGCUCGUGCAAUGUAACAGGUUCUGUUUGAACAGUGUGCGCUCAGUUGGUCGAUUGGUUUAUUUGCUUCAAAUUGUCAUUGAAGUGCUGUUGUUGGUGUAGUGAUUAUGCAAGCACCUAUGGAGAUGCUCUUAGAUCACCAGUGCAAGGAUAAGUUCCUCGUGCAGAGCGUUGUGGUGAAGGAUAGGGCGACGAUUAAAGACUUUGGGCCUCAAUUGGUACAUACUUGCAGCACUAGAGUUCAUUGUUUCAAUUCCUCUAGUGCCUGUCAUCAAUAUUGCCGUUUGUGAUGUGUAGUUCACUAAAGCACCAGGUAGGGUAAUUGAGGAGUUCAAGUUGCGCGUGGUGUAUAUUGCUGCUAAUCCUCCCUCACCAGUUCCGGAGGAAGAAGAGGAAGAGGAUUCAUCCCCUCGGUCAGAGGUGGUCUGUGGAGUGAAAACCUCAUCUACAUUUGAUGCUGUAAGUAAUACAAUUAACAUUGCCUUUUGAGUUUUGACCUGAUGGCUAUUUCAAGAAAAGUACUCAAGAUGCCACAACAUGAAAAAGCAUUGUAAUUAAGGAAAAUUUUUUGUUUCAAUUUUAGGAACAUAGAUGUAUAGGUGCUUCUGCUGCAGAACCCUCUUGUCCUGAGGUAACUCUAUGCUCAGUAUAACAUUACUCAUUUUGUUACCGUGUCAUUUCUCUCUCUGUUAUUUUUUGAGGAACCAGUGCCAUGUCAUUGUCAGAUUGGAUAUUAAUAAGAAUUUUUACACCUUCUCAUUGUUUUGUGAAUUAAUCAAGUACUAUUCACUGUAAUAGAGUACAGUGAGUGAGAGCAACAAUUCGGCAUAGCAAUUAGUUCACCCUCUUUUCCUUAUUUUGGCUGGUCAGGGUACCUCUGUAAUAUCGGAGCUGGUUCAAGAGAGAGAAUAUGUAGAUAAACAUCAGAAGCUUCAGCAAGAUAUGGUAAGAUCGUCUCUUUACACGCCGCUUGAUAACUUCUGAAUGCUGUGCAACAUAACAUCUUCCCUACGUUCUGAAAAUGUUUUGAAGGAUUGUUUAGAUAUCUAUUUUACUGUCCAAUAUUUGAACAUUUAAAUUCAUUAUUUGUUUCAGGAACUGCUUGGGGAGACAAGGUCAUCUCAACAGGGAUUCUCACUGAUGUUUGUAGUGUUCGUCUUCAUGUCAUCUAUGUUCAUUGGGCACCUGAUGAACGAAAUCAAGGUCUAGCCAAAUACCAGUUGUAAAAAGGAAGGAUCUGCAUUUCUACCAACACCGCCACAGACUUGAUAUUGCAUUCUCCGUAGCUUCACUCCCUAUAACAAGCAGUAUUCAGAAAGGGUUCUCAGGAUUUCCUGAGAAUUUAAUAGAUAUGGAGAACCAUAUAUCACUGUUAAUGAUAGGCCAUAGUACAGAAUUCCCUAGUAUGAUUUCCAGACUAGCAAAGACAUGGUUCAAAUUUGCAACAGGGGACUGGGCCCUGUUGACUUGUUCUAAGACAUUAUGACGCAGACUGAUGAAAUACAGAGUGUCAAUACGUCAGGUGAAACCUAAAACAAACUGCUGUACUGAAAUUGUCCGCUGGAGCAGAACCAUAGCUCAGUAGUCAGUAUCGAUACGAACCAAGCAGAAAUGUGACUACAAUCCGGCUAGCCCAUCAGAGCAAGUUUUGUCGCAAAUUACCAGGACGCUAGAGAACAACGGCAUUGACGCAUUGUAAAGCUUCCAUGAUCUAGUAGACUAGCACCAUCCUACGUCGGCACAACGUAGACGUUUACAUUGUGAUGGGCCACCGCGGCCAGCUCCACCGCCACGCCGACGGCGACGAGCGCGACCACGCCGGCGGCACCGCACCAAGCAGCGCCGCGCCUCCACCAACGCCGCUGGACGACGGUCCUCCUCCCUGUUUCCGCCAGGGCCUCCAGGUCGGCGUCACGCUUCUUGCCAACGCCACCCUUUGGCGUCGCGUAGUCGCGCGUUCCCAUGGCCUCGCGCUUCCUGGCGGCGACGGCAUCGGACGCCGCCUCGCCGCGUGUUCCGGCGUCCUCGCGCUCGGCGUCAUGGCCCUUGCCGGCAAUGGCAAUGCCAUCGGCCGUCACCUCCUUGCGCGCUUCAACGGCGUCGCCGGGCGCCGCCUCCUGGCAAGAAUCGGUGCACGAGCACGUGGACCCCGAGGAUUCGGAGUAAUCCGCUUCCUCCUCAGGCUCGCCCACCUCCUUCUCCUCUGGUUCAGGUGCAGCCACGGCGCGCCGCGCCCACUGGUCGAACGUGGCCUCGAGGACGGCGAAGCGCGCCUCGGCCUCGGCCAGGUGCUCCGGGCGCGCGCCGCCGUGGCACUCCGCCUCGGCGGCCAGGAGCGACCGGAGGAAGUCGGUCUUCGCCUUGAUCUCCGCGGCGAGCCGCGCCUCCGCGCCGGGGCCCCGCUGCCUGGACGACAGCGCGUCGUCGAGGCAGGCGCAGAGCUCGUCGAGCUUCCGCUCCACCACGGUGCUCGCGCGUCGUCCCUGCGCCGCCGGCGGCAUCUCCAUGGGGCGCGGGCUGCCGGUUUCUGAGCGCGUCGUCGUUGGCUCUGCCGGUGUGGUGCGCGUACCGGGAGAGGCGUGGCGACGCCGGGAUCGCGUACUCGUGUGCGGCAGCGGGCGGUUUCUUUGUGGCUUUGAGCGGCCGCGCGUGAGGUUUUGAGGAGUGGGGGCGACGCUUCGUCUGAACGCGCGCGCGCGCGCGCGCUUGGGUAACGGCACGGGUGCGUGUGCAGGGUUUGUUUGAUUCCAUAUGAUCGCUUCGUGCCUUGUGAAGUGGCGAGAGGGCACGGUUGCACACAUCUCUGGAUGGGAAGUAACUGCAACUCUGAGGCAUCAAGAGCGCGAGAUCCGGUGUGAAUGUUUCGUGGAACGAUGCAUUAAUUUUCCCCCCUUUUUUUUCUUUUUUGUUCACGGGCCGGUGUCCAUCCCGGUGAUUUCAGCCCAGGGAAAAUUUCCCAAUAAGAAGUUUGAUAAAUGGGCCUUAAUAUGGGCUCAAGUAGUCGUAAUGGUCCCGCCCAACCUAAAUAAACUAGGCCCAAACAUCCAGCUUUCCUUUUCUUUCUCCUUUCCAUUUCAAGUGACUAUCUCUGUAUCUCAAGGGUGAAAUUUUUUCAGAAAUUCCACUCGACGUUGGAGUUCACAGGCGUGGGUUAACGUGCAUGAAUGCCGCACUACGCUACUACUGGAAAUUUUCAUAUGUCCUGAUUGUUUUUUAAUGCACGAUGUUUAUUGCUCUUCUUUAGAUUCAAAUGGCCAAGGGUUUUUAAAUCUAAUUAAGCCAUUUUGGCUAGUUAUUUAGUAAGUGAACUACAGUUUUUUUCGUUGGAAAAAGUUGGUUCCAGAUCCUUGGUUGCUAAUCUGUUUUCACUCUCAAGGAUUGUCCAAAAUAAAUUACAAACACUCGAACCAUUUGUAAAACAUUCGACAAAAUGUUGUAGUGAGAGGAAGAUCUUGGGGAGGCAGGUCGGUUCAGUAGACUGAACCAGGUGGAUGGCUCCGGCAGCUAUGGAGGCAAAGAAUGUCCGGUUAGCGGUGACAGCAAUAGAUCCACAAGUAAGAGGGCCAUCGGAGAUGAGGACGAGGGUGAAGAGGUGUGAAAGCCUCCGUGCAGGACCAAAGAAAUAGCGGGGAAAAAAAAGGAGUAACGUAUCGCUGGCUGUCUGAAGGUUGAAGAAAGGCCGUCGACUACAAACGAUAUGCUGUUUUUAGUUGGCUGAAAAAAUAGCAUCUCUUUUCCAUCGUCCAUUUCCGCUCCCUCUAUUAUGCAACCACACACUGAAAAGCAAGAGAAGCAUAGAGUGGUAAGUUGCUUGGAAACAACGAGCAAUGCAAGCUUGAAGCUUGUCCUCGCCGCUUGCGUCGUCAUAUGAUUCCGCGCUAGCUUUCAUCCCCCUGAUCGUGAACAAUCGAUCGCCAUCACAACAUUCUUAAACCAGCAUCUUGGCAUUUGCGCAUGUUACCAGGUAUAGACAUCGAUCCUCCUAAACGCCAAGAUCGCCCAAUAGAGUACCAUUAACACAUUCAGGCAAGAACAAACUUAAAACAUGCGUCCACCACUGCAGCAAUCUUGUUCACUUCUGCCACUCCCGAGUUUCUGAACAUGUAUAUCCUGUGUGCCACCUCAACUUCUCAACAAACCAAUCCAUGGCCUGCUCAUCAACCUCACAUGCACGCUCACUGAUUGAUCACAGCAUCGCUGCACCGUUUUCUCCUAUAAAUAGCGCCCUCGAACACCGUCUCGAACCAUCACAAGCACUCAGCAACCGAGCAAUCGAUCAAGAGCUCCUCUUGAAGCUCACCCUCCUCUGUGCUUGUGGUCAGGGGUACUGUUAUCACUGUGCAGAAAUGGCAGGCAAGGCCUCGGUCGCGCUGUUCCUGGCCGUCAACAUGGUCGUGUUCGCCAUGGCCAGCGCCUGCGGCGGUCACUGCCCCCCUUCGACGCCGUCCACCCCGUCGACGCCGACCCCGACGCCGGCAUCGUUCGGCAAGUGCCCCCGCGACGCGCUGAAGCUGGGUGUGUGCGCCAACGUGCUGGGCCUCAUCAAGGCCAAGGUCGGUGUGCCACCCACCGAGCCCUGCUGCCCGCUGCUGGAAGGUCUCGUCAACCUCGAGGCCGCCGUGUGCCUCUGCACCGCCAUCAAGGGCAACAUCCUCGGCAUCAACCUCAACCUGCCAAUUGACGUCAGCCUCAUCCUCAACCACUGCGGCAAGACCGUGCCCACCGGGUUCAAGUGCCUCUAAGCGCUGAUCGUCGCGUUCGUCUCCGGCAUGGCAUGAGCAAGCCGAGCAUGCCGACGUGUUCUUUGAUUUGCUUGUCAUACGCGUGUAGCCGGUUUGACCAGCUUUUGCUUUUCGGUGUUUCCUGUUUAAGUUGCUCGUCCUCUGUGUGGACGUGUCCUCGAACAAUUUGGAUUACUAUUCUCUUAUUUGUAUCCGGCAAGCUGCUUGUAUGAAUACAGUUAGGGCCUGUUUAGUAGGGCUUAUUGGACGGCUUCUCGAGCGGCUUCUGGAGAAGCCGUACCAAACGCCCUUCCAAAAAACGACUUCUCUCGCGAAGCACCCGUGAAGCCGUUUUCCAAUUUGCACUGGGGAGGAGAAGCCCAAAAAACCAGCUCCCCGCGGCUUCCCCUCCAUCCGCGCCCCCCAUGUUACCAAAUUACCCUUCAACUUCGCUGAAAUUACAUCGAAUUGCCACCGCCUCCUUUUCCUUCCUCUCGCGAACCGUUCUUUCUCAGGUCGUGAACCGUUCUCCUUCUGGUAGCGGAGGGGCAGCCGCCGGUCUGGUCUGGUGGCGGCGGCCGGCAUGGAUGCGGCUCCGGCGGCGGGAAACUUGGAUCCGGCGGUCGAAAGGGGUAGAUCCGGUGGUGGGCUCCAGGAUGCGCCAAGCGGAGGGGCCAACGGCGCGCCGUAUGUGUCCGACGGAGGGGCUGGCGGCGCCCCGUUCGUGUGGCCGGGAGGCCCGUCGACGGGUCCCCUAGGUGCUCUCCUGGCCGCCGCGGGAGUGCCUCCCGGCAUGGUGGCGGGCGCAUGGCCUGGAGGCGCAGCAACCGCGGCGGGCCAGCCACCGGCGCAGCAACCGGCCAUCCCAGCCGCGGCGGGCCUGGCUGCCGGCGCGUGGCCCGGCAUCCCCGGCGCAUGGCCCGGCAUCCCCAGCGCGGGGCCAUCAGCUUCACAGGCCUCCGGCAUCCCCAACGCCGCCAUGCCUGCAAGCACAGGCAUGCCCGGAGGAUGGCCGGAGUGGUGGGCCGGAGCAGCGGCGGCGGCUCUAGGGCCGGAUUGGCUCCGUGCCGAUCCUCAACUCGCUUCACAGGAGACAGCUUCACAGGAGGUUGGAGGCAAUGACGAGCGGCUGCCGGUUCGGGUCACCUCUGGUCUAGUUCGGAGCUCCUCAACUCGCCGGCGAGGUACCCGCGCACCUAGGCCACCACCGGCGGCUAGGACAGCUACUGCUCCUGCAUCUGUGGACGUCGACCUCACUGAUCCAAGGUAAGAACAUAUGAUCCAAUUAAAGUGAUUUCCUUGUUUUCAAUGGUGAUACUGCUCCUGCAUCUGAAGAUUUUUUGUCUAACACGUGAUGAAUGGACCUUGUGACCUGCUUUGCUUAUUUUGAUGCCGUUUUGUUUGCUUCAUCUGAUUGCUCUUGCAUUCUAGUUCAGUGAUAGCAACAGGAGCUACUGCUUGUACUGUUACCUGAAGACUAGUAUAUGACUGAUGGUGCCAAUUUACUAGUCUGAAGCAGAAGUAGGGGAAUGCGCCUUCUCAAUGUUCAGUUUCAUGACUUCUCUGCUGUUUUGAUGUAUGAAAUGACUAAUUAGGUGAUGACGUUAGGUUCCAGCAUUCCAUUUUGUGUUAGUAUCAGGAACAGUUGAUGCAUCGAUUCUCUUGAAUCUGAUCUUCUACUCCCAUCAUGCCAGUGAGACAUUUCCAUAUUUCAGUAGGGGAUGAGCUCUGAAUGACCCCUAUGGCGUUCUGCUCAAGAAUGCACCAUUUCCGUAUUUCCAAUUUAUUUUGCAGUAGCAGCACAUUUCGGUACUGGAAAGCUCUAUUGUGUUAGGCUAAAAAUGUUCACAUUUGUCUCUUCAUUAUUUUUCAAUCCAAGUGAUAAAUUUUUUAUCUGUACUCAUAGGUUCAGAAUUCAGACACAGUCAUAGUAGGCACAGGCGUUGGAGUAGUACCCCCAGUAGUUAAAUUCAACUGGUUUUGUUUGGAUUUAGGUUUCAGUAUGUGUAUGUGUAUGUUAGUAUGAAUCUUUGCCUGUUCUAGGGGGUGCCACAUGGCCCCUGCUGGUUCUGCUGGUGAUGGCAGCACACAGACCAGCUGUAUGCCUGGCAACCACAAUUACACCAUGAGUAUAGAAGCAGGAGGAUAACAGUAACCGGUGUAUAGCAUUCCAAAAAUCGUACGCGCGUUCAGCUUCGUUUCAUGCAGGCAGAGCUGCUCUUGCACAACGACCGCAUCCACCGGCUCAUGGUCACUGUGAGCUUUGUAUAAUGCGAUCCUUAGUUGUCCUCUGGUAGACUUGUCUGUCAUGCUUGAUUCAUUCUCUUUAAACACACAUAUAUGAUAAUAGAGUAAUAGUAAGUCUGGGACAGAUUUGCUACUUUCGAUUAGAAAGAAAAUUACGCUGUUAUAGCUUUAGAGAAUGUCAGGCCUGUGUGUUUUUGAAUUCUGCAAAUGAUGUCAUGACUGAGAAUUCUGCAAUAUAUUAGCUUAGCACCUGAGAAUUCAGGCAUUCUGAGAAUUGGAGAGGUGUCAGAUAGACUUGAAUCAUUGAGCAUUUUGUUUUACCAUUUAUUCCUGUUAGUUCUAUUAGUGCUACUGUUUACCAGCAUUUUGUGCUAACAGAACUAGUAUACUGGUUUACCAGCAUUUUGUGCUAGGAUAUUGAUGCAAGCAGGGCAAGUGCUACUGUUUCAGUGCUAGGAUAGUUCCAGAACUAUAAAUGGGCACCACUGCUACUGUUUUUUAUUUUGUGCUGAUCCUGAAUAUAAAUUACUGCCAUAUAUAGUUUCUGAAUAUAUCCUACUGUUCCUGCUAACUAUAAAUGGGCACCACUGCUACUGUUUUUUAUUGGCAACAGCUUGGCUGAUUGGUGUGAUGAGAACAAUAGGAUAGUUUGUGAGAUUUUUGCUGAUGAAGUUUUAAAAGGAAAUAGAUCAAGUACUCAUUUGAGUAAGACCGGGUACAAGAAUGUGAUAGCAAGGUUUAAAGAGAGGACUGGGAUUGAGUACACUAGAAAGCAAUUCAAGAAUAAAUGGGAUAAGUCAAAGCAAGAUUAUGGUAUUUGGAAGCAGUUGAAAAAUAAGGAGACUGGGAUUGGAUGGGAUGAAACUGGGAAGAAUAUUGUAAUGUCAGAGGCAUGGUGGAAGAAAACAGCAAAAGUAAGUAGACAAGUUGCAGUUGUUUCAAAUUUUUCAUUUUACAAUAUGUAAAAAUAUUAAUAUCUAACUAUUGCAUUUCAGGAUAUAAAGGGCUCUACCAGAUUCAAGCUGAAAGGACUACAAAAUGAAGAACAGCUAAGCAUUAUGUUUGAAGACCUCAGAAAUACUGGUGAUGAACAUUGGUCCGCUUCUAGUGGUAUAGCACCUUCUUCAGCAAACUUGUCUCGUGAAAGCUCUCCAAUUCCUAUUGAUGAUGAAGAUGAAGCAGACAAAGUGGAUUCGGACAGUGAGCCGGAGGAGGUGACACCUAGGAGUGUGCAUGGUUCAAAGAGAGGUCGAGGGGCUAGUAACAUCAAGGGAAAGAAACCCAAGACAAGUAUAGGGCAUUGGUUUCAGGAACAAAUUGGCAAGAUUGUGGAGAUGAAUGAGAGGACAACUGCAUCUUGUGAAUCUAUUGCAAGGAGGGAGGAUACAUCUGGUUGUUCCAUCCAGGAUGUCAUGGCUUUGGUCAAGAAUUGUGGGGCUCUUCCCUCGACGAAUGAACAUUUUGUUGCAUCUCUAGUUUUUACCAAGAGGGCUGAACGAGAGAUGUUUAUGACUUUGGAUACACCUGAGGAGAGGUUUGAUUGGCUGAAGAGGAAGUAUGAAUGGAUGACUAGAAAUGAUGUGCCUAAGUAGUUUGUAUCCUUUGGAUUGGAUUCUAUUUCUAUUUCUAUGCUACUCUGAAAUAUGUAUGCUUAUGUAUGCUACUUUGAAUCUAUAUUCUAUAUAUGCCUAAGUAGUUUGAGUGUUGUUACUUUGAAUCUUAUGUAUGCUACUUUGAAUCUAUAUUCUACUUUGCAAUUCAUGAGUGUUAUUUAUAUCAUGAACAGAUCUGAAUCUUCUGAUGAUGAGAUGUCUGAUCAUGAUGAAUGGGUUAAAAACACUCUAGGAUUGUUGCGGUCUACUCAAAAUUGUCAAUUUGCCACUGCUCUUAUUUCUUGCAAGUACUUCAUGACUUACCAUGACAAGAAUGAUGUUAGAAUUCCGGCUCAAAGUGGAUUCGGUUGGACAAUGGAGAAGCUGAACACUCCAGGUGAAAGUCAUAAGCAAUUCCGAAUGAAUGCAUCUCUAUUUUACAAGUUGCAUGAUCUGUUAGUGGGUAACUAUGGACUAAAAUCAUCUCUUCAUAUGAGUUCUAUGGAAUCAUUGGCUAUUUUCCUACUUGUGUGUGGGCAUGGUACUUCUACCAGUAGUGUACAUGGUAUAUUCAAGCACUCUGCAGAAACAAUUAGUAGAAAAUUUGAGGAGGUAUUGAUAUGUAUGGUGGCUAUGAGUGCAGACUACAUAAAGCCAAUUGACCCUAAUUUCUCUACUACACAUCCUAUGAUUAGUAAUGAUCGUAGGAUGAUGCCACACUUUAAAGAUUGCAUUGGAGCUUUGGAUGGCACUCACAUUUCAGCGACACCACGUCCUGAGGACCAGAUUAGGUACAUUGGUCGAAGUGGCAAAGCGACACAAAAUGUUCUUGGUAUUGUUGAUUUCGAUAUGAGGUUCACUUAUGCGUCUAUUGGUCAGCCCGGGUCUAUGCAUGAUACUAAUGUUCUCUUCCAUGCAUUUCGACAUGAUCACUCUACCUUUCCACACCCCCCUCUAGGUAUGUCGGAUCACGUACCUUAUCUUUUCUCAUGUCUAUACAUGAAUGCACGUGGCUCACAACCUUCAUUUUUUUACAUGUGUAUUUAGGAAAGUAUUAUAUGGUUGAUGCCGGGUACCCAAAUAGACCUGGAUACUUGGCACCAUACAAGGGUGAAAGGUAUCAUGUGCCAGAUUGGAGGAGAGGUCCUGCUCCAAAUGGUGAGCAAGAACAUUUUAACCAUUUGCAUUCAAGUAUUCGCAAUGUGGUAGAGCGCUCUUUUGGUGUGUGGAAAAUGAAGUGGAGAAUCCUUCUCAAGAUGCCGAGUUACCCAAUGGAGAAGCAAAUGAUGAUAGUUGCCGCAACCAUGUGUCUUCACAACUUCAUUCGUGAAAACCACACACAAGAUAAGGAUUUCCGCAAAUGCGAUCGGAAUCCCGAUUAUAUGCCCACUAUACCUUCAAGAUAUAGGAAGCACUAUGUCUCUCAAGAUGCUGGAGAUACAUCCAACAUGGAAACAGAUGAUCGGACCAUGGAUAAAUUCCGAGAUGAUCUUGCUAGAGCAAUCUUCCUUUCUAGAUCAUCUUGAGUAUGUCAGUUAGCUUAUAUGGUUGCAUGCUAUGUAAGGAUCAUAGCUAUUAUUAGCUUUUAGCUUAUAUGGUUGAAUGGAAGGGCGUGGAUCACAUUAAGGAAAAGAAAAAUUAAAAAAUCUUGUUUCAAAUAUUCAGCUUUUAUGUUUCUGUGAUUCAAAUAUUCAAUUCCUUUUUGAGGUUAGAAACUGAACCAUGAGUACAUCAGCUCCAGUUCGGUCCGAAAGAAACUCGAUCCCCGUACUCACGGUCAAAUAUGCAAAUAUCAGCUGAAUUCAAAUAUUUCUAACCUGGAUGCGACAUCAGCUUAGCAUUCGCUAGUACUAAUCUAUUUAUGAACCGUGAGUAUCUAUUUUCAUCUAUUAAAAAAAUCCAUAUAGUUAAGGGCAUCUAUGACAUUUGAUUUAUCAAAGCCAUUCCAAAAAACACAGGAGAAGCCGUUUUGCCAAACACUUUUCAGAAUGGCUUCAGCUUCACCAGAGAAGCUGUUUCACCAGAGCAGCCACAGCCGCAGCCGUUUCAGCCACAGCCACAGCCCUACCAAACAGGCCCUUAAUAUUUCUUUUCUAUUUUCUCUGAGCCACAGUUUUUAUCGACUGCAGCGAAUUCUCGCUUGCACACUUUUGCGGUUUUGUUUUCGUGAACUACAAAUUCUCUUAACUUUUGAACAAGGUCUGAAAACAGUGGACCCGAGUCUGAGAAACAGCCUGAAACCACCACAUACACACUAGAUUUUCUCAAGUUUUCAUACAAACACUUCACUUAAAUUCUUUCUAGAACUGUAUUUGAAAUUGACAUGCACGGUAAGUUCGAACUCAUUCAUCAACAUAUGGAUCCUCGAAUUCCAGCCUAAAUUUUGCAAAAACUCGGGUGGGAUAUCUCUGAAAUUUGGAGCAAAACUCGUGUUUUCGCCAAACUUUGGUGCGACAAAUCUCUUAAUCUGACCAGCUUUUCAAAAAACGUUUUAUUAAAACUUGUAGGAUUAUUGUUGGGAAACAACUUUUGUAUAUUAUGGAUGGGCGAGUUAUGCACGAGUUGAGGAAGUUCUAGCCGGUCAAAGGGAGGGGGAAACAUUGGCGUCGGGCCAACUGAAUCAGCGUGGCUCGGCUGACCAUCGUCAGUUUCCGCGCGCCACGCGUCCGCCGUCGCCCACCCACCGCCCUGCCGAGCCAAUGCGCGGAGGACCUCGCGCCGGCAGGCGUCCCGCACCGCCUGCCCUCGGCUUAAAGCCACCCCCACCCCGGCCGCGCUCUUCCUCUUCCUCUCGCUCUCGCUCGUGCUGUGCCAGGUCCACCCAAACCACCGAACGCCGCCGGCAAAAUCCACAGCGCCCGCACCACGGAUUCCAAAUCGCCCGCGCACAUAACUUUAACGCAUUCCCCUCCAACUCCCCGAGCAAAUCCAAGCCCCAGCCGAGCACCACACCGCCGGGAUUUCUCGGUUUUCCAAGCCGCCCGCGCCGCCACCACCGCCUCGCCGUCGACCACCUUCCCGGGUACUCCAGCCCCAAAGAACCGCCCGGAUCGACUACUGGUGAGACCUCAUGAGCGCGCUUUUUUCCCGUGUUCGCCGCCGCUUCACUCGCCGCUUUUUUCCAGUGUGUUUUACUAUAUCUGAGUUAAUCACUUCCAGAAAAGAAAUUAACCUUCCUGAACAUUUAUUUUUUGCUCUCACUAUAUUUUUCAUUGCAUAUGUUGUGCAUAAUUUGUUGAUGUUAUGAAAAUGUUUUAUUUCACAAACUUAACUUGAUGCACAGAAGGCACUUGUAAGUUGUAGCCAUUGCUUGCUGGUUGCAGUUAAUUGAUUUAACCAUGCUCUUGUUAGUAGUAAACUAGUUCUUUCUAUGCAGAAAUGUGACUGUUUAGAUUACAGCCCAUGUCUCUUUGUGUAGUUCAAUUUAUUUAGUACUUGGUAAACGACGACACUGUUAAGAAAUUUACGUUGAUAGCAACAUUAUGUCAUCACUAGCUCAGCUUAAACUUGAUGUUGUUUUAAAAGUAUGCGUUCAUGUUUUGCACUCUUUACUGACACUGCAAGAUCAGGAGUACACCCAGGAGCCAGUGCAGGAGGAGGUGCAGGUUGAUCAAGCUAAAGGCGAAGAAGCUACUAACCCCGCUCAAGACAAGGCAAGCAUAGAAGCAUGACCCUUAUUUUCAUUAUGCAAUGUUUCGUUCAUUUAAGUAUUGUGCAUUAAGUUCAUAUGGAUUGAAUGGAAUUAUGGAAACCUCGAUGCAUAUUCCCUAAUUUCUCUUAUGAAUGAACACUAGUAUGAGUGCGUAAUAUUCCAAAAUUUUGAAAUAUUAAAUUGAGUGAAAUUUCAAAAUUUUAAAACUUUUGAUUGAAUUGUGUGCUCAUUUAAAAAAUGGAAGACAAAUUCCACUCUCAUCUAGAAAUUCCCUAAUAAAUUAAAUCUCAAUUUAAUUUCAAAACAUGUGUGCUAGUUUGAUUUGGCUCUUUUUGGAAUUUUGUUGGAUUUCAAAAAUGAGUGUGUUUGAAUUUUGAAUCUAAUUCAAAAUCCAAACUAAAUAUAAAUAAAAACAAAAACCAAACCUAAACUAACCCAUCGGGCCAGCCCGCAACCAACUGGCUGGCCCGCUAACCCAUCUCCUUCCCUCCCGCGAACAGCCCAACAAGCCGGCUCCCUAAACGGCCCAACCGGCUUGCCAACCACCGCACUACCCCCCACUCUCUUCCUCCCACCCGUUAGCUUUACCUCCCACCUCUCGCCGCCUCCCUAUGUCUUUCCCGGCUGCUCUGCUCCGCGCGCCCGUGACCUUCCGGAGCCUUCCGCGAGGAGGAAAUCCCUGUCGUGCCCCUGUAGCUUCCGGACGCUGAGGAUGAACGGCCGCGCGUGUUUGUGCCCCGUGCCGCAACCUUAGCCUCAGCCAGGGGCUAUAAAUACCCCCGGCCGAGAGGCCUUGCCCAUCCAUCUGGGGUCUCCAUGAGCUGUUGCCGGCAGUUGAGAAAAGGGGAUGAAGGUAAAGGGGAGGAAGGAGGAGGAGAAGAAGAAGAGAAGGGGAGAAGAAGAGAGGAAGAGGAGGAGGUCGCGCCAGGCUGGGAAAGAGGAGCCGGAUUCGCCUCGUCGCCGCUCGAGGAGGAAGAGUUGCCGCCACCGUCAUCAAGGGAGCCGCCGCCGUUUCACGAGCCUUCACCACGCCGACAUCCCUCUUCUCCACAUCCCUCUUCUCCUCCGUCUCACUGUGAGUGUCGUCACCCUUUCUCUCUCUCCCUCUCCCCUCGGCACCUCUGUUCGGCUGUUGAGCCGCCACCUUUACCGCCAGUUCGGCCUUCGUGCCACCGUUCCAUGCAAGUGCAGCCGCCGUGCCCUUGCCACAGCCUAGGAUCCCAGGACACCGCGUGUGUGGCCGGUCGUGUCGCGGGCGGGGGUUACCCCGUGACCACGCACGUGCAGCCCGCCUACGCCGUAGCCUUUGCGCCGGCCCGCGUCGCUUGCAUAUCGCCGUGUGCUCGCCGCGAUGUCACUGCCGCCCUUCGCCGCGACGUCGUGCCGCUGCCGCUCACCGUGCCUUAGCCAAUCAGCCCACGCCGCAUGCUCGGAGACACGAGCGUGGUGCACGGGAUCCGUUCUGUUCAGACCCGAGCUACGACACGGAAGACUGAUCCUAACAUCUACGGGCAAGUGUCACGUUACUUCCAAUCAUAUAGAUUCUAUACAUGCUUAGUUGCUAGUGCUUUAUUUAUGAUGCUUGAUGAUUGAUUGCAUAGUCUAGUUUUAGCCAUACUUUGAUAAUUGUUUAUUUUGUUUUUCCUUGUUACCUACUUGUGGGCUAGCUACAGAGCCCUAGCUAGUUCAUCUUACUAGAUCCAUUUACUAGAUCCAUAUACAUGCUUUUGAGUUAUGGAUGGACAUAUGUCAUGGUUUUGAUAAUGGGAUUUCUUGUGCACUCUCGCGUGUGUUUUGGGUGAGUGUGAUUCCUUGACGUGUUUUGGCUGGAGCGAGCUGCCGUUGGUACUGAGGAGUACCUUGCUAGGGGAGAGUAUUCUGGACUCUUUCCACCCCUUUGCCUGUGAUGGGUACCUUGUUGGACACUGAGGAGCAGGUGGCGUACUUGUACGUUGCAGAUGCUUCGGCACAUACUUUGUGGAGUUGAGUGCUCGCUCUCGGCCUCUAAGGACCAAGUUAGUUUACCACUAGUCGCAGUAUCUAUUUUUUACAUACCGUUUGUCUUGUUACAAGCGGGGUUUGGUCUGAGAGACAGUACUCAGCCUGUAGGCGGAUUGGAGGAUCAAUGUAAGGAGUUCAAGGUGUUGACCUGCUUUGAUCAAACUGCACUUUGGCGUGGGUAGGUUUCACAGCUUCGAGGUCCUCAACUAGGGAGACGUGCCAUGCUGUUGAGGAUGGUUCCAUGCUAUCGAGGACGGUUCCAGACUCGAGGAAACAAGAGAGUACUAUCCACUUGCUAGGACUCUGGUUGUUAGGUGGGGUUUGGACGGAUCGCUACUAUUCGGAUGGAUGUACAACCUUUGCAGAGUGUAUAUAGCUAUAGUUCAUGUCUACUGGUUAUGGACAGUGCUGUUGACUACCGCUACUUCUGAUCAGACUUUGUUUAAUCUUCUACCUUCCCUUUUUUAGAUAGGCCGACAUUUGUCGUUGAGAUGUGAGGGGAGGGAGUAUGUCUGGGUUCCGGAUACUUGGGCAAAGAAUCUGGUGAUUUGUGACGACUUCCUUGAUGUGAGGUGUUGACCUUGGAGAUGGUAUUGCUUUAUGCUUCCUUGAAUGCUGCUGCUACAUAUACUUCUACGGCCAUAUAUAGGUUGAUUCAUGCAUAUAUUAUUAUUUCCCCUGUUUCCUUGGCUUGUUGCUUCUGGGAGUUGACAUGGCCUGUCCGCUUCUUGGGUAGAUGGUGGCUUUUUAGGGUCGGAGCUCGACUACAACUUCGCCAAUGACGGAUGGGAAGACUUAGGAUGGUUCCUCGCUCAAGUCGCCUUUGGGGAUGUUGUUCGCCACGCUACAUGUUUCCGCUGCGUAGAUGUUUUACCUUUCAUGAUUCAGUCUUGAUGGACUUGUACCGACAUGUGCCAAAGUGAUGUACUCGACAUUUAUGAUAUUGUCACUGUUGCUAUUUUAUAUUUCUAUGUUGGUAUGGAUUUGUACUAUCUGAAAUAGGGAUUCGCACGUGAUAAUCUUCCUGGGACUAUCACGGAGGUGCGUAAGCUUGAAUUCUCAGAAAUGGAAAUUUGGUUCAUUUUAGAGUAGGUGGCCUAUGAUUCCUUAAUUUCUCUUAUGAAUGAAUACUAGUAUGUGUAGGUCGCUAGAAGCCAUCCUUAACUAGGAUGAGGUAGAAGUUGAGCGAUUUACUGGCACGUGUGAUUUAGGACCAUUUGAUACUUGUGGUAAAAGUACUCCCUCCAUCCCAAAUUGUAAGUCAUUCCAAGAAUCUUGGAGAGUUAAAAGUAUUUCAAGUUUGACCAAAAUUAUAGAGAUUUAUGACAUCAAAUAGGUAUACUAUGAAAAUAUAAUUGAUGAAGAAUCUAAUGGUACUUAGAUGACGUCAUAAAUGUUAUUAUAUUAUCAUAUAAAUUUGAUCAAACUUGAGAUACUUUGACUCUCCAAUAUUCUUGGAAUGACUUACAAUUUAGGAUGGAUGAGUAAUUGUUAUGGAUCACAUCAUAAAAAUGGAGAUCGGACGAGAUAAUGAUGAUAGUGUGCAGAUUUUAGCACCUUGAUCAAGUAUUUAACAUACUAAUCAAAUGCUGGCCUAUUGGAAUAAGUAAACCGAUGUACCUGAUUUUUGUAAGGACACAUAUUAUGCACGCAUCAUAUCGUAUCAACUCAUUGGGUUCUUUUGGGUUUUUCCUAGUAUCACCUCUAUAUUUACUCUCUCUCGUUACAAAAUUUGUUAAACUUUCACUAAAAUUUGCCCUCACGCAGAAGAUAUUCCUCUUAUCGCAGAUGGCCACUCCAGCGCACGUUCAGGUUGGUGCCGACGGUUGGGCCCGCUCCACUUGCCUCCACCGGGGUGGGUUUCCCUCGCUGUUGUGGGAUACGCUUCAGGAGUUUGGCUACGUUGAGCCCCCGGAUUACGUCGGGCGGGAGUACAUUGAGCUGGGGUUCCACUGUUGUGAGGUUGUCCUCGACAUCCCCUCCACCCCCGCGCACCCAGGAUGGGCACCUUGGAGGGUCGUGGCUCAUGGCCAUAAGCUGACAGACACAUGGGAGAUUGCUGCGUUUGAAGCUCUCACCAAGUUUUGUGAGAAGCACCCAGAGGAGAUCGUGGGUACACCAGCAGCAUUCUUUCCCAUUAGGUAUCAGUCUGAUCCCCAAUGGGCGGCACGCAUUAUGGACUUGGACGCCACUACACCAGUAGGCGCCCUCUUGGCCAGUACCAUCAGCUAUAAUAUUGCUCUGUUCAACCUCUUCGAGCGUCGGGAAGCUCAGAAUAGGCUGUUUUUUGACAGGGCACGGGAUUGCCGUAUCCAAAUCGAUAGGAAGAAUGAGCAGAUUCAGGAACUUAACCAGAAGUUGAGUGACAAGGCUCAGUACAUUGAGCACCUCAAGGAGAAGUUAAAGGAGGCUAAGAUAAAGAUUGCUAAGUUAAAGGAGGCUAAGUUAAAGGAGCCUAAGGAGCAAAUCCAUGACUUGCAGUCGUAGAAGCAGGAGCAGCCACUUGAGGGGUGGAUUGUUGAGUGGGGUGCCACCUUUUCCGUGAAGUGUGAUACUCCGUGGGGUUUCCAUCAGUGGGCUUGAUGCGAUGCCUGCUACUCCUCGUCGUUGUUUAUCGCUUUAUGUUGUUGAACUUUAGUUUGUAUUCGAACAUCGCUUUAUGUUGUUGAACUUUAGUUUGUAUUCGAACUCUGUUCCGCUGUGCGUAUUUGAACUCUGCUUGUAAAAGACUAUGUGUUGAACUCGGGUUGCAAAAGACUAUGUGACGCUGUACCUUUAAUUUAUGUAAAUUUACCAACUUCGCGUGAGACGUCUGUUGUGUAUUCGGGAUUGGAGCAUGUCUUGAGGUACAAAAGCAGCUAGCACCUAUGCCAAGUUGCUAAUUAAACUACGACCAACCAUCAAGCGAGAACAAACGCCAACACGCAUCGCCAAUGCAGCAAUCUCGGCCAGUAGUGCUGUUCUACAGUGGAACCUUAUUCCUGGAGCACCAUCCCAAAACAUUUGUGAAUCAAAUCCAGAUCACCCGUCUCAUCUCCCGCACAUGCCUGCGUGUUCACGGGAAUGCUAGCACACCAUAAACUAAUCGGCAUUGCGUCCAUCUUUCUCCUAUAAAUGCAACACUCCAGCACCACCGCAAACCAUCACAGGCGCCUAGCAAUCGAGUUAUUAAGCAGGCCCAGCUUAAUCACUCUGCUCCGUGCUUGUGGUCAAGCAACUGUUGCAGUGCAGCAAUGGCAGGCAAGGCCUCGAUCGCGCUCUUCCUGGCCGUCAACCUAGUCGUGCUAGCCGUGGCCAGUGCCGGCGGUGUCCCCUGCCCCCCGCCGCCGUCGACCCCGACGCCGACGCCGGCCUCGUUCGGCAGGUGCCCCCGCGACGCGCUGAAGCUGGGCGUGUGCGCCAACGUGCUCGGCCUGAUCAAGGCCAAGGUCGGCGUGCCACCCACCGAGCCCUGCUGCCCGCUGCUGGAGGGUCUGGUCGACCUCGAGGCCGCCGUGUGCCUCUGCACCGCCAUCAAGGGCAAUAUCCUCGGCAUCAACCUCAACCUGCCAAUUGACGUCAGCCUCAUCCUCAACCACUGCGGCAAGACCGUGCCCACCGGAUUCAAGUGCCUCUAAGCUAACCUGUCGAUGCAUUUACCUGGCAUGCAUGAGCCGAUCAUGCCAACAUUCUUUUGCUUAUCCUCCAUUUGUUUUAGUGCAGUCUUAUCGGUUGCUACGUGCGAAUGUAACCGGUCUGACCAGCUUCCGCCUUUUGGUGUUUCCUGUGCUAGUUCUUACAUGGACUAAUCAUUUGGGUUAUUAUGUUGUAUUCGGCAAUCCACUCGUUAUAUGAAUAAAGUUAAUUUCUUUAAUCUUGUGAGUUUUUUUAUCUGGCUGCAUUGCAGCUGCAGCAAUCUCCUUUGCACACCUUUGUUAUGGGAAACUCUAUCGCCUGAAGUUCGCUACUUAGGAAAGUGUUUAACACUUUCAGUUUUGUUGAAAAAACUUGCUGCAAUAUCCAACCAAUUUUUAAUGAAAUAAUUAACAUUUAUUUGCAAAUAUAAGUGAAUUCCUCUUUUCGUUCGAGGGCGUGUGUUGCACUCAUCUUUUCCAUCAUAACAAAGUGCACAAAUGAUUCACAAUUGGUUUAUUUACUCUUAUUUUCCAAUGUAAUAUUAAUAAACACAUAACUCCUAGCAAUUGAAUCAAAUGGGCAUAAUACCCAUGGAACACUUAUCUCAUCAACUUAGACAGUGUAUGAGAGCAAUAUUGAAGUAAAUGGGCGGCCGAACACCCAAUUAAAUGAGCAAUUCGCUUAAAUCAACUUUGACAACACGUUGAGGUAGUUCUAUCUUGACAUUACAACCUUGGAGAUUCUGAUGAGAUUCAAAAAUUGUGGCAUUGGAGCGAAACCCCUUCACAUAAGUGGAAUACAGAUUAAAAACUAUGGUUUCAUCCAUUAAGCACAACAAGUAAUUGAGCGUCCUUCGUGAUUAAUAAUUUAGUAGGAAGUGAGCCUAGUUAGGGUGGGAGGUAUGAUCGUGCAUCCUAACCACCCACAUUCGAGUCUCCUUCUUAAUGAAAAACUGCCUAGUUCCUCCUAGGUUGGAUCUAAUUUUUUUGAUCAAUAAUUCAGUACAGUAGUUGUAAACCCAUUCCUUGACAUUUGCGCAAGUUACAAGGUUCAGAGCAACCAACCAAUAUGCCAAGUUCUUGAAUAUUCCUGUAUGCCAAGUUGCUAAAGUAUACUAUGAUAGUAUGAUCGUCAAGCGAGAACAAACGUCAACAUGCAUCAAUCAAUGUAGCAAUCUUGGAAAUUCCUGGCACUUGCAGUACUGUUCGACAACAUCCGGGCUACCACCCAAAUAUUGUGAAUCAAAUCCAGAUCACCCAUCUAAUCACCUGCACAUGCAUACGUGCUCACGGGAACGUUAUAACACACCAACAACUAGUAAGCAUUGCACCCUCCUGCCUUCCUCCUAUAAAGUCACACCAGGGCGAGGCCACAAACCAUCACACAGGCACUUAGCAAUAAUUAACCGAGUUGUUUCUGCUUUGUUCGUGUGCUCCAGUAAUUUCUGGCCUUAGCAAAAUGGCAGGAAAGGCCUCGAUCGCUCUGUUCCUCGCCGUCAACCUGGUCGUGUUCGCCAUGGCCAGCGGCCAGCGCCUGCGGUGGCAACUGCCCCACGCCGUCGACCCCGUCGACGCCUACCCCGACGCCGGCCUCGUUCGGCAAGUGCCCCCGCGACGCGCUGAAGCUGGGCGUGUGCGCCAACGUGCUCGGCCUCAUCAAGGCCAAGGUGGGUGUGCCGCCCGCGGAGCCCUGCUGCCCGCUGCUGGAGGGGCUCGUCGACCUCGAGGCCGCCGUGUGCCUCUGCACCGCCAUCAAGGGCAACAUCCUCGGCAUCAACCUCAACCUGCCCGUCGACCUCAGCCUCAUUCUCAACCACUGCGGCAAGACCGUGCCCACCGGCUUCAAGUGCCUCUAAGCUAGAAGAUGCAGAUGCAUCCAUCGUGAAUCGUGUGUGUGGCAGCCCGCCAGAAGAUCAUUCCUUUUUUAUCCCGUAAUCCCGUUCGAUGUUUGGUUUACUAUAGCUUUCGAAAGCUUGCAUGCAUUGUGGAGAGACAAAGCACGACAGCACGUAUUUGCAUUUGUUUUAUUCUGGCAUGUCCCUCUGAAGUAUUUGGAUUAUUUAUUUACAUCUGCAAACGGUCUGUAUGAAUAAAAUUUAUUUUCCGAAUUAUUUUGUGUUAUAUGUGUAGUACGUUGAAGAUCUAGCUUUUGUAUUUACUUCUAUAUAUAUUGUUUGUAACCGCCAUCGCACAAAUAAAAUAGGAUUAUCAUGCAUGGGAGAAAAGUUAAAUGACUACAUGAAAAAAACGGGCGUACCCAAUGUUGAAACCUCAAACACAACAUGGGAUCUAGGGAAGGGAAUCCUAUAUACAAUCUUAUCCUUGCAAAAUUCCUUUAAAAUUCUACAAAAGGCUGAUCCAAAACCAAGACCACAGCCCAAAACGGGAGAGUCUCUACCACUAUGCCAGGUCUGCCCUUUGAAGUAUUGACUACAUGUAUACUGCUAUUUAGUGAAAUAAAAAAAUCACAUCCCUAUUGCUUUAUGUGUGCCGGUUCAUUGGAGCCGGCACAAAUAAAUCCUCCGAGUAUUAUCCUAAGUGCUUAUGACGAGUACAAAGAUAUUGCUAAUGUGUGGCAGAGGCUUCUUGGUUGCGAUGACAUCUUAUUCAGGAGUUCCACACCCUCCUCAAUCGUGACGAAACUCGUUUACCACAUAAUUAUUGUUUAUCUCUCAAGUAAUCUUAUAUGCUGCAUUAUCGCAUUAAGCGUAUCGAAAUCGAUCUUCACUUUGUUCCAGAGCAUGCACAUGUAGCCACGGUGAUCUUCAUGUCCUUCACAUCGCUGUACCAUGUCGCAGUACACCGAGAUCUUCACCGAACUGCUUACAUCUGUUUUCAGUAAGUUUCGAUCCAGUCUGAACGUAAAAAGUAGACACUCUUAACCGUGUGGAAAACAUUAAAUAGAUAACAAGGUUGGGUGUUAAAUUAUAUCACUUCGGUCUCCUAGUGACUAUUUCAUUCAUCAUUUAUGUAUUCUCAUUAGCCAUGGUUGGCUACAUAUGUAACCCCUCAAGACAUGGAGAUCAAUACACUACAUUGAGCCAUUACUGUUUCCAACACAGACAAUGUCCAAUAGACGAAAUUAAAGGUCUUUGCAUCAUCCAGCGGCUUGACUGCUUGAGGUGGUCAUCUUCUUUCUGUACAUUGAUGUUAUCAUGUGACCACCUCAAAUUCUCUAUUUAUUUGGGUUCAAAUUAACAUUUUCAUUCUAUACACAGAACAUUUUUAAUAGAAAAUUUGUUGACCGCUUGAGAAAAAAACUAUAAAAAGCACAAACUGUUGGCCACUCAAAAAGGCUGUUGGGAAAUAUCACAUAUUUUGUAGUAAAAAAACUUUGAUACCUUCGUUUUGCACUGUUAGAACUUCAAGCAGCUUGGACAUCGACGUCCAACCUCGCAUGAUAUACAUCACCACUGCUCCAAUAAUUUAGUGUAUAACGCUCCAAUAACGCUCAAGCAACAUCCUAGACCAUCACAGGCGCUUAGCAUUCGAGUCAUUAAGCCACACCAGCUUAAUCACUCUGCUUCGUGCUUGUGGCCAAGCAGCUGCUACUGCGUAGCAAUGGCAGGCAAGGCCUCGAUCGCGCUGUUCCUCGCCGUCAACAUGGUCGUGUUCGCCAUGGCCAGCGCCUGCGGCGGCCACUGCCCCACUUCGACGCCGGCGUCGUUCGGCAAGUGCCCCCGCGACGCGCUGAAGCUGGGUGUGUGCGCCAACGUGCUGGGCCUCAUCAAGGCCAAGGUCGGUGUGCCACCCACCGAGCCCUGCUGCCCGCUGCUGGAAGGUCUCGUCGACCUCGAGGCCGCCGUGUGCCUCUGCACCGCCAUCAAGGGCAACAUCCUCGGCAUCAACCUCAACCUGCCAAUUGACGUCAGCCUCAUCCUCAACCACUGCGGCAAGACCGUGCCCACCGGAUUCAAGUGCCUCUAAGCAUUUGCAAUGUGUCUGGCAUGAGCCGAGCAUAUGCAUAUGCCAACAUUCUUUUGCUUAUUAUUCGCGUGCAUGCCGGUUUGAUCAGCUUUCGCUUUUCCGUUUUUCCUGAUGUGCCAAGUCCCUGCGUGGACGUGUCCCUGAAUUCCUUGGAUUAUUCAUUUGUAUUGUCUGGCAAUUCGCUUGUAUGAAUAAAUUUUCUUUGCUAUUUUUCCUGUGCUGCUUUCGAGCUAUAGAUAUUUCUCAUUUGUGUUAUAGAGCGUGUACGGAGUGAGCAUACUGAGAAAUACUACAGAAACACCAAACACCUGCAUAUUAUCACCGUCGAUUCAUUUAAAACCAACUGUGAUAACACAUCAUUGUUAGAUUUUAACACGAAUGAUAAUAAUAGAUCAACUGAAAAUUUCCGACAAUGAUAGCAAGUAUUGAUUGUACAAUUUGUAUUUGAUAAUUCUUAUAAUUUCAAACAAAUUUACAAAUGGAGAGAAAAUUUAUCUGAUUGUUCAGCUCUCAACGAAAUUACAGUUUAUAGUUGAUAACUUUUUUUAAGUCAUUUAGAUGCUCAAAAUAUUGUUUAUUCUUCAAUAAAAAGGAUCAAAGGUAAAAAUAUAUACAUUAUCAUUAGCAAUAGGUGAUAGUGAGGUUAUAAGGAGGCCUUCAUGCAAAGGGUGAGGUUAUGGGGGUUUGAAUGCCAUAAAAAAUUCAUGCGCAAACAAUAUUACAUAACUGGUGAUUUGAAAGAAUUACUGGCUUUCAAGUGCCAGUAGCAGGUUCACUGCUCGUACAUCAUCAGUGCAAAGACAUGGUGGCAUGUCGCCUGCAUACACACUCAUCAUGUCUACUGUUAUUACGUACUCAGUUUUAUUAUUGAUGUACAUUUCCAGUAAGAGUAAUCUGAAGGUGUAUUUGAGGCAAGCUGACCAAUAUUAUUGUACGUUAUAUCAUCUCACCUUCAGUAAGAGUAAUCUGAGGGUGUAUUUUGGAACCUUAUCAGGUGUUGCUCUGCUCUGUGCAAUUAGUCAGGUUGACAUCAACAUGGUGCUGAUGCUGUGGUGAAAUCAAACAAAAUCAUACAUCAUCUGAAUUAGUAGCUGGAUUAUAGCGUAGUAAAACGUCAGUUAUCUCUGCAUCUUUUAGUCUGCACUACGCACACUAUGCGGCAAUGGCUGUCAAAGCAAGAAAAGAAACAGGUGCAGCAUCGAUUUCGCAUCUUCACGGAAGAAAUCGCGGUUACGCGCGGCCUCUCUGACUCAUCUCUCGCACCUUCUCAUGGCUGUUUCGGCAAAUCAGCCGCCGCCCCGCCGGUCAUCAGGGAACAACAACAUCGAGCCUCCAUGCUUGCUGCGGCUGCUCGGACCGCUCGCCUGAGUGCUGCAGGAGAAAGAUCUAGGAUUGGUCUUCGUGAUUCCCACCGGAAUGGUGGCGGCCGCGGCCGACGGCGGACGGGCGGGGCGGCGAGAGCAGGGCCCGGCCGAAACCAGGAGUGCAUCUGUAAAUAAUUUGGAUCGCGAUUAUUAAUUGCGAUCCAAUCCAGGGGGGUAUUUAUAAAAAUUUGGGGCCACACGUAAAUAUUCCCCGCCGGCGACAAAGACAACCGCGGCGAGGCCACUGCCGACGUCCGCUAGCCCCGCUUGCCAUGCUUGCUGCGCUCGCCCUCCGUAGAAUCCACGCGCCUAGCCUUCGCCGCCGGAUUCCCUCUCGCGCCGCCGCUCGGUGGCUGCGCGCGACGUCUAGGCAGCUUCUAGCCUUCUACCGCAUCCUCGCCAGAGUGGCAGAGUACUCUGCUCGCUCGGCUCCGGCCGGCCACUGCCGCCUCCCUGCUAGGUUCGCGCAUUACAGGUACCCGUCCCUCCGCUAACUUUACCCAUGAGUGCCUCUCGCCGGUUUGUAUGUGAGCUGGCUCGUGCCGGCACCAAGCGGCGCUCAUGGUGCUCGACGCUUUGCCCGCAAGGAGCAUCGAGUGUCUCACUUCCCUGCUGGCUUUCAAGGGCCUCAUGUCAUUCCCGGAAAGUAAUUAGUUCCCUGUUAUUGCUAAUUCAUCACUGCGAAGACAUGGUGGCAUGGAUCUGACAGCCUGACACAGAGCUGGCAGGUGUUCACCUUCACCUCCAUGGAUUGCUUGCUCCGCAUCUCGGUAUAGCAGGCUUAGCAGCCUCUGUUUCACCUCAGUGCUCGCCAAGACCAACCUCGCGGGUUCAAUUCCUCAUGACAUAUGAAGAUGGGUCCGUAAUCAAAUUCCUUGAUGUAACGGCGAAGGAGUGUCUGGUAGCAUCCCUGCCUCACGAGGCCUCAAACAAACGAACACUACUGCUUAGUUUAACAAUCUUUCUGGUCCACCAUCAUACUAGAACUACAAAAUCUGCACAGCCUACUCUAUGUAAGUCUCAGGUUAGCGGCUCAAAAUGACACGAGUUUUUUUACUCCUCCAAAUUAAACAUUGGCAACAGUAUAGACUAUCAAUCAGGCCCUAUACCAGAUCGCAUUGGCUCGUUGCCAGUGCUUGAUUUCUGAACCUUGAAGUCAAUCUUCUUGUUUAGCCUAGUACCUGCAUCCCUCUUCAACAUGACCUCGAAUUAAGUUAUUGGCAUGUCCAAAACAAUUUAUAAGAGGCAAGCUGAGUAAGCUUUAUUUCCUUUCCUUGGGUAGGGAUUAUCUUCUUUGGCCCAAUCCCUGCUGCUUUAAGCAAUCUUGCUCAGGAAGCUAAUUGUCCUAGACUUUUCAUUUUGCAACUUGACAGGAGUCAUUCUGGCAAAACUGCAUGGCAUGAUUCCUGAUCCAACUGUGACCAUAGAGAAUCUCCAAUGAAGGUUGCGAUGUUAAGCCCUUGUUUAGUUCACCCCAAACUCCCAACUUUGGCACUAUGCAAAAAGAAGAUUCUCCAUCACAUCAAACUUGCGGUACAUGCAUGGAGUACUAAAUGUAGACAAAAUUAAAAACUAAUUGCACAGUUUUGUUGUACUUUGCGAGACGAAUCUUUUGAGCCUAAUUAGUCAAUGUUUGGACAAUAAUUCACAAAUACAAACGAAACGCUACAGUGUGCUACAAUGCUGUAACAGUAAUUUGGCACCUCCAAACUUUGGCAACUAAACAAGGCCUAAGUAAUCUAGAGAAAAUAUAAUUAUGCACCUUACAAUGAAUUUUUAUGGCUCUAUACUAACACACACUGGUAGCUCACCUAGGAAGAAUACCAGUUAGUUUGUGAUAAACAGUAAACAUCAACUGUAUCAAUGGGCUUUGGCUAGCUUCAUGGCUCUCUCUAUUGUCUGCUUGUUUGGUAGCCUGCCAAAUUCAUUAAGACUGCUCCAGAUGAUAACGUAAAUCAACCAAACCUUGACCACCAUCACCGGGGUCACACCCUUUGGAUUUCAUAUAUAUAUAUAUAUAGACACACACACACACCACCGAUUUUGUUCACCAUGAAAUACAGGGCUGAUUUAUGUGCUUCUGCAGCUGAUGGAUUCGUGUGCUUGAAUACUAACCACACUAGGAAUUCAGUAAAUGAAACCCUGCUUGCAGAUUGCAAGCUUCUUCUGUUGUGGCGAAAAUACAUCAGGAAUCAAAUUCAGUUGUCGACAUAUAUAUCAAGCUACAAUUACAGCAACUGGUUCUCAGUUUCUAGCUCCUGACCCCCUUCAAUCGGUGCUUACUGGACAUAUGCACAAAGUGAUGCUUGGUAUAGCACUAAUUCCAAUAUUCAGGUGAGAAUCUGCAGGAUUUGGAAGCUUGUCCCACGCUGGUAAUUUGAUGAUUAGUUGAUUUAGUUGCUCAGAAAGUGUGAUCGCUACCAUGGAUUCAUCAUUUUAUAAAGCUCUGAAGCAACAGAAUGUGAGUUCCCAUACAAAUUUAUGUGGAAACAUAAAAUUCUUGUAAAGGUUACUCUGGAGUCUGGACUGCGAUUUAGUUGUUUGAACUAGCUAGAACAUUCAGGUACCUCGCGGCAGAGAAACAGGGACAAGGUAACAUUGUCAUUCCAGUUCUGUUUGGACUGUGGACUCCUACAUACUCCUUGCACAUGCUGACAGUUUUCCAGUUAACCAAAUGAUAUUUAUGGUUACCCUCACUCUCAUUCCAAAGGAACUUCGGUAGAUGUGAAUUCAGCAAAGUAACAGCCCAUUUGGCAAAACCUCUAAAUAAAUUGGACUAUUUUUAGUCUACAUUUUUUUUUGGCAAAUAGAUGAUCAAAAAAGAAAAUACUAUCUCGCCUAAUGAGUAUUUUGUGUCAACCAAAAACUCAAGGGGGGCUAGGAAUUCAUGAUUUAGAUAUCACGAACACUGCGUUGCUUAGCAAGUGACUCUUUAGGCUGCUCACAACUGAUGAAGGUUGGCAACAGAUUUUGCACAAUAAGUAUCUCAAUUCAAAACUUCUAUCACAGGUCCAGUGGAGAAAUGGGGAUUCUCAUUUUUGGGCUAGUCUGAUGAAGGUAAAAAAAGAGUUCCUUUGUUUUGGAACCUUCACACUUAAAAUGGGACACAAAUCAGAUUUUGGAAAGACAAAAGUAGCUGGUGUCAGUGUUUUAUACCUGGCAAAUUAUCGAAGGGUAUCCUAAGGUAGUAGAUUGGUUGGUGGGAAAUCAUCGAACCUGGAACUCGAAGGUAAAAUCGAGGACACAAGACACGGAUUUAUACAUGUUCGAGCUGCCAGAUUAGCGUAAUACCCUACGUCAUGUUUAGGUUGUUGUAUAUUGCACCGUGUGCUUGAGUGUUGUGUAGCCUGAUUGUUGGCUAUUGAUGAUGGUUUUGAGCUGUCGAUCUAGGUACCCCUGCCCUCCUUUAUAUACUCUGGGGGCAGGAUUACUAAUCAGUUACAAGGAGGAGCCUUAGUAGAAUUACAUGGUAUAAGUCCUAGUAGGAUUCCGUCUUCUUCCUUCCUUGCGGUUACUGGGGAUCUAUCCUGACAUGCCCCCGAGCGCUUCAUAGUCAAAUGCAGCAGCCUUGAGUACUUUUCAGAUGCUCUUCGAGUACUUUGUCUAGCUGAAUCUUCAAAGUUCCUCAAAGCUGCCAUGAGGCUAUGGUGUGCUCAAGCUCUUUAUUGUCUUGAUUUUGUAAUCUUUAUCUUUGGAAUGUGAUAUGGAGGGUGGCGGAAGUCGCACUCUAUAUGGAGUAGCCCCUGAGCCUUAGAUUGAAUCGAAGAAUCAGGCUGAGGGUCAAUAAAAUCUUAAAUCUUCUUCUUUCAUCUUGAAAAAAAUCAGCUUGUUGGGUGUAGCUUAUCAGCCCCCGAGCCUUGGAAUGAUUAAUUAAUCAAUCCGAGGGUCUUUAGUCUUCAUACAAGUCAUCAUCCGAGUAAUUUUGCCGCAUCCAGCCCCCGAGCUUAUACGCCAGGUGAGCCAUAGGAGCCACGUCGAGUAGUUAUUGGCGCUUAGCCCCCGAGUUUGAGAGCUAGCGGAGCUACUGGAGGUAUACCAAGUAGUAAUUGGCGCUUUAGCCCCUAAGCUUGGAAGCUAGCUGAGCUACUGGAGAUAUUUCGAGUAGUAAUUGGCGCUUAACCUCCGAGCCUGGGAGCUAGCGGAGCCAUUAUAGAUACACUAAGCGUCCUGGAGAGUCGUCACCGCAACUUGACCUGAAAAAAGACAUGCAUACAUUAUGUAGCAUAUUUGUAGAAUUUGGAACUACUGAAAUUUAUUCAGUAAUGAAUAUAAUGUAGAUGUUGUGUGUGAUACUCUUAUUUCGGCCAUAUUUCUCCCGAGUAGUUAGCCUAUUACGUUUAGGCUCUCAGUCCCUGUUUAGCCAUUGCCAUUACGUGUGUGAGAUCUUUGUCUCUUGUACGCGUAUUGGCGCUGCUGCUACGGAGAUCUUUGUCUCGUGCCCUACCGUUUAGGCAUGACAGAAGAUUCAAAGCUAUCACGGAUUAAGGCGUGUUCUAUUUAAGGAUAUCGGCAACCACUAAGAGAAGACAUUUAAAAUAAGUAGUCGGCAUUGUGACAAAAAGAGAGCGUGAUUACUGAUGUCCAGGUUGUCGAUUGUUGAUGAAGCCGACUAGUCGGAGUCGAUUCCGACUAGUUAUUGAUUGUAUGGAACCCGCCCUCGACUAGUUUUCUAGUCGAGACGAGUAGUUGAAGUAGACCAUCCUCAACUACUUUUCUAGUUGAGAUGAGUAGUCGAAGUAGUCGUCGGCGACUUGAUUAUUUGCCUCAAUCUUCGUGUGACUUGAUCGACGAGCCGUAUGCAGCAGCCUGCGGUGGAAACCGACUCAGUCUUCGAUUGGAACACGGAGCGCGUCAAUUCUGUCUCGACGUAGAUUUGUCUGCUCGGAACUCCAACUCGGUGACUUGCUUCUUGUUGAGUAGAUUGAUCUUGAUGAUGAGGUCCUUCAAAGCUCGGUUAAUGAUCUCGACGAUCACCUCUACCUGACGCGUCAACUGUUGGUGCUUAGACCCAGCAAUCUACCGAGGGGGUACCCGAGGUAGUGUUUUGUGGUGGGGCUUGUCGAAGACCAGGAACUUGAAAGUGAACUCGAACACACGAUUUAGACAAGUUCGGGCUGCUUAUGCUGCGUAAUACCCUACGUCCUGUGUGUUGGUUGGAUUAUAUUGAUUGAUCAGAUGUUUGGAGAGGGGCCUUGCCUCGCCUUAUAUUGCCCAUUGGCGGGGGCAGGGUUACAGGUUGGUUGCUGUACAAGAGUACUAGUUGGUUUUGACUAGCGAGUCCUACUCUAAAUUGCUACGAGUAGUUUCCUAAUCCUUGACUAGUUCUUAUCCGCCACGUAGACUACGACGUCCUGCACCUAGUCUUUGUGUCUGAUACGUCUUCGUGUACAGUCCGGUAUUGUAGGACUAUCCAAGCUUCCCGGUAGGCUCAUAGAUGUAUGGUCGACAGCUGGAUAAUGUAACUCUGGAUCAGUACUAUCCUUAUCUAUAUAACAUAGCUUGACACAAACAACGUACUAUAGCAGAAGUUUAAGCUCGUAACCCACCAAUAUUUGGUGGCAUAGACCACGUAUUGCUGAUAUAGUGCUCGUAACCCACCAAUAUUUUCGUGGCAUAGAGAUCUCUUAGGCAAUAAAUUAGCAGUACGAAACAAUCUAUGUCCACGUGUUGCUAAUACAAUGUUCUAAACCUUACAGCCUACUGGACAGUUCUCUAGCCAUGAUGCAUGUGCAUGUCCAAACAAAUAUUUAUGGAUACCCGAAAGGUUAAUUUUUUGUAGUAUUUAUGAGGGGGGAGGGGGCGUUGACGAAAAAAAUAA